AUACGUAGGGGGCGAGCGUUGUCCGGAAUGAUUGGGCGUAAAGGGCGCGUAGGCGGCCCGGUAAGUCUGGAGUGAAAGUCCUGUUUUUAAGAUGGGAAUUGCUUUGGAUACUGUCGGGCUUGAGUGCAGGAGAGGUAAGUGGAAUUCCCAGUGUAGCGGUGAAAUGCGUAGAGAUUGAGAGGAACACCAGUGGCGAAGGCGACUUACUGGACUGUAACUGACGCUGAGGCGCGAAAGUGUGGGGAGCAAACAGGAUUAGAUACCCUGGUAGUCCACACUGUAAACGAUGAAUGCUAGGUGUAGGGGGUAUCGACCCCUUCUGUGCCGCAGUCAACACAAUAAGCAUUCCGCCUGGGGAGUACGGCCGCAAGGUUGAAACUCAAAUGAAUUGACGGGG
rnacentral:rRNA from 1 species